ACGGGUCAGCAGGCGCGAAAACUUUACAAUGCGGGAAACCGUGAUAAGGGGACACCGAGUGCCAGCAUCAUAUGCUGGCUGUCCAGGUGUGUAAACUACACCUGUUAGCAAGGGCCGGGCAAGACCGGUGCCAGCCGCCGCGGUAACACCGGCGGCCCGAGUGGUGAUCGUGUUUAUUGGGUCUAAGGGUCCGUAGCCGGUUUGGUCAGUCCUCCGGGAAAUCUGACGGCUUAACCGUUAGGCUUUCGGGGGAUACUGCCAGGCUUGGAACCGGGAGAGGUAAGAGGUACUACAGGGGUAGGAGUGAAAUCUUGUAAUCCCUGUGGGACCACCUGUGGCGAAGGCGUCUUACCAGAACGGGUUCGACGGUGAGGGGCGAAAGCUGGGGGCACGAACCGGAUUAGAUACCCGGGUAGUCCCAGCCGUAAACGAUGCUCGCUAGGUGUCAGGCAUGGCGCGACCGUGUCUGGUGCCGCAGGGAAGCCGUGAAGCGAGCCACCUGGGAAGUACGGCCGCAAGGCUGAAACUUAAAGGAAUUGGCGGGGGAGCAC
rnacentral:rRNA from 1 species